rnacentral:rRNA from 1 species
CCUACGGGAGGCAGCAGUGAGGAAUAUGGGUCAAUGGGCGAGAGCCUGAACCAGCCAAGUCGCGUGAGGGAGUACUGCCCUAUGGGUUGUAAACCUCUUUUGUCGGGGAGCAAAAGCCGGACGUGUCCGGCUGUGAGAGUACCCGAAGAAAAAGCAUCGGCUAACCCCGUGCCAGCAGCCGCGGUAAUACGGAGGAUGCGAGCGUUAUCCGGAUUUAUUGGGUUUAAAGGGUGCGCAGGCGGAUUUUUAAGUCAGCGGUAAAAUCGUGGGGCUCAACCCCAUCCAGCCGUUGAAACUGGGGAUCUAGAGUGUGCGAGAGGUAUGCGGAAUGCGUGGUGUAGCGGUGAAAUGCAUAGAUAUCACGCAGAACCCCGAUUGCGAAGGCAGCAUACCGGUGCACAACUGACGCUCAGGCACGAAAGCGUGGGUAUCGAACAGGAUUAGAUACCCGAGUAGUC